GACGAACGCUGGCGGCGUGCCUAAUACAUGCAAGUCGAACGCUGAAGGAGGAGCUUGCUUCUCUGGAUGAGUUGCGAACGGGUGAGUAACGCGUAGGUAACCUGCCUGGUAGCGGGGGAUAACUAUUGGAAACGAUAGCUAAUACCGCAUAAUAGCAGUUGUUGCAUGACAACUGUUUGAAAGGUGCAAUUGCACCACUACCAGAUGGACCUGCGUUGUAUUAGCUAGUUGGUGGGGUAACGGCUCACCAAGGCGACGAUACAUAGCCGACCUGAGAGGGGGAUCGGCCACACUGGGACUGAGACACGGCCCAGACUCCUACGGGAGGCAGCAGUAGGGAAUCUUCGGCAAUGGACGGAAGUCUGACCGAGCAACGCCGCGUGAGUGAAGAAGGUUUUCGGAUCGUAAAGCUCUGUUGUAAGAGAAGAACGAGUGUGAGAGUGGAAAGUUCACACUGUGACGGUAUCUUACCAGAAAGGGACGGCUAACUACGUG
rnacentral:rRNA from 1 species